rnacentral:rRNA from 1 species
GACGAACGCUGGCGGCGUGCUUAACACAUGCAAGUCGAACGGAAAGGCCCCUUUGGGGGUCCUCGAGUGGCGCACGGGUGAGUAACACGUGAGUAACCUGCCCUUGACUUCGGGAUAACUUCAGGAAACUGGGGCUAAUACCGUAUAGGAAUCCUUACUCCAUGGUGGAGGUUGGAAAGCUUCGUCGGUUUUGGACGGACUCGCGGCUUAUCAGCUUGUUGGUGGGGUAGUGGCUUACCAAGCCUUAGACGGGUAGCCGGCCUGAGAGGGCGAACAGCCACAUUGGAACUGAGAAACGGACCAGACUCCUACGGGAGGCAGCGGUGGGGAAAAUUGCACAAUGGGCGGAAGCCUGUUGCAGCAACGCCGCGUGCGGGAAGACGGCCUUCGGGUUGAAAACCGCUUUCAGCAGGGGCGAAGCUUGUGGUGACGGUACCUGCAGAAGAAGCAACGGCUAACUACGUG